rnacentral:rRNA from 1 species
GGGGCAUUUCAUGGAGGAGCAGGCACGCAAAUUACCCAAUGAGUCGAAGACCGAGGUAGUGACGAAAAAUAACGAUACCGGACUCAUCCGAGGCCCGGUAAUCGGAAUGAGUACACUUUAAAUCCUUUAACGAGGAACAAUUGGAGGGCAAGUCUGGUGCCAGCAGCCGCGGUAAUUCCAGCUCCAAUAGCGUAUAUUAAAGUUGUUGCGGUUAAAAAGCUCGUAGUUGGAUCUCGGCAGGUAGGGGGCGGUUCGUUUCUGACGGCACUGCCCCAUUUACCUGUGUUUAUGCAAGAGGUCUCAAGGUGGCUUUAAUCGGCUGUCUUGGAACGCUUGCAGUUUUACUUUGAAAAAAUUAGAGUGCUCAAAGCAGGCUACAAAGCUUGAAUAUUUGUGCAUGGAAUAAUGGAAUAGGUAGUCGUUUCUAUUUUUUUGGUUUUCGGAAAUUGACUUAAUGAUUAAUAGGGACAGCCGGGGGCAUUAGUACUCAGACGACAGAGGUGAAAUUCCUGGACCGUUUGAGGACUAACUACUGCGAAAGCAUUUGCCAAGAGUGUUUUCAUUAAUCAAGAACGAAAGUUAGAGGUUCGAAGGCGAUCAGAUACCGCCCUAGUUCUAACCAUAAACAAUGCUGACUAGCGAUCCGUAGCUGUUUUCUAUGUAGGCUCUACGGGAAGCUUCCGGGAAACCAAAGUUUUUGAGUUCCGGGGGAAGUAUGGUUGCAAAGCUGAAACUUAAAGGAAUUGACGGAAGGGCACCACCAGGAGUGGAGCCUGCGGCUUAAUUUGACUCAACACGGGAAAUCUCACCAGGCCCGGACACUGGAAGGAUUGACAGAUUGAGAGCUCUUUCUCGAUUCAGUGGGUGGUGGUGCAUGGCCGUUCUUAGUUGGUGGAGUGAUUUGUCUGGUUAAUUCCGAUAACGAACGAGACUCUUUUCUGCUAAAUAGGUUUGCCGUCUUUUUUGCGGUAAACAUUCUUCUUAGAGAGACUGGCGGCGUCUAGCCGCACGAGAUUGAGCAAUAACAGGUCUGUGAUGCCCUUAGAUGUUCUGGGCUGCACACGCGCUACACUGAAUGGAUCAGCGUGUUUUCCCUUCCCGAGAGGGACGGGUAACCCGCUGAACCCCGUUCGUGGUAGGGAUCGGAGCUUGCAAUUAUUCUCCGUGAACCAGGAAUUCCCAGUAAGCGCAAGUCAUAAGCUUGCGUUGAUUACGUCCCUGCCCUUUGUACACACCGCCCGUCGCUACUACCGAUUGAACGUUUUAGUGAGAAAUCUGGAUUCGACCUCUGUGGGUUCAUUCCCCACAGUGCUGUCGGAGAAGAUUUUCAAACUUGAAGCGUUAAA